UCAAAACUAUGCUGAGCAGGUUAUGAUCUAGUUUUUCCCAUUUUCCCUCCUAAUUUGUUCCAUUUUUGGUCUGUAUCAUUUGUAAUGGUGAAAAGAUGGGUAUGGACAUGAAUACUAGGUUUGGUUGGGGGAAAGGAAAUUUGAAAGAAAGGGAAAAGGAAUUAUAGGGAUGAAAGGAAGUGGGAUGAAGUGUCUGACUAUGUGAAGGGUUUCCUUCUGUCCUGGUUGUUGAGAUGGCAAAAGGAAGUGAUGCAUUAUGGAUGUUUGAAUCUUCAAUUUUAUAGGAACCUGCAUCUUCUUUUGAAAGUUAUUGUAAUGGUACUGUUCAUGCUUUUUGUGGAUAUUUCCACACUGCUAUGCCAUUAAUUUAGUUUGAGUGCUUGGGCUUUUGGCUUCCUUAACUAGGAUUUUGAAUCAAUCUUGUGAUAUUUAAUGCUUUACGGUACUGGAGUCCACUUAGUUGUUUUAAUAUCUUGUUUCAGAGAAAUGGAAUGGUAUUGAGAGUUGAAGCUUUGCUGUUGGCUUGGUGGCUAGGAUUUUCAUCAUCUUGUUCUACCACUCUCAAUCAUCCUUCUUCCUUCAUUUCCAUUCCUCGCCUAUUUUUUUUCUUAAACCAUGCACUCAAUAUAGCAACCUUGGUCACAAAUCACAAACUAGACUUGGAAGGCAUUUGAAUUGUUUAGGAAGCCAUUGUUCUUUGUAUGGCUUAUGUAUCUUCUGGUAAUUUCUAUGCAAGGAUACCUUCUAUGAAAUGUCUUCUUAUAUAGGCAUUAAAUAUACAAAUUUUCUUAAAACUUCUCUAGGACCAUUUUUUAGCUUUGAUCCCCAUCUAGGUUUCUUCUGACUGUUUGUUUAUUUUAGUCUUGUAGAAGGAAUAAAGGUUAGGUUCAAUUAGAUGGAGUUUUGGUGCCAAAACGUAGCCAAUUGAAGUAUGCAGGUUCUAUCAUCCAAAAACUAGAGUAAUAGAUGACGGUAUAAUUCAUAGGAUCAAAACAAGAUGGAUGAAAUGGAGGAGUGCAAGUAUGUGAUAGGUGCGCUACGCGACCGUAGAAUCCCUAACAAAGUGAAAAGUAAGUCCUAUAGAAUUAUGGUCAAGCUAGCUACGUUGUAUGGGAGUGAAUGUUGGGUAUCUAAGUUGUAGGUAUCAUACCCACAAGAUGAGUUUGGCAGAAAUGUUGAUGUUGAGUUGGAUGUAUGUUAAAUCGAUAAUAGGUAAGAUUGAGAAUGACCACUCUUGCCAAGGAGUGCAUGUAGCAUACAUUGUGGAUAAAAUGAGAGAACAUUGAUUAAGAUGGUUUGGUUAUAUGGAGCAUCGAAUGCCCUAUUAUGGAAGUGUGGUGGUGGAAUGAGUGAUGAGGGAAGAUGGGAGACCUAAAAGGAUGUGGAGGGAAGUAGUAUCAAAAGAUUUACAAGUUUUGGAAAUUGAUGCAGACUUCAUAUUCAACAGAGUUGAAUGCCAAAAAAGGAUCCGUAUGGUUCACCUCAACUAGUUUGUGAUUAAGGAUUAAUUGUUGUUGUGACGGGGAGGGAGAUCGGAGAGAGGGAGAGAGGAUCAGUGGGUGGUUUUGUGGACAUAGAGGAGAUGCUUCUGGCUUCAGAAGCAUGAAAAACAUAAAUAGGAGGGCUUUGUGUGAACCUCAUUGAAGAACCAAAAUUUUCUCAAAAGAAUAACUGAAACCAAAUUGAUUGGACUGAAAAACCAAAUUAGAUUCAUUUUUUCCAUUAAAACAGAUUUCUGCUCAGCUUUACUCAUAAAUGUUAACUUACUAGAUUAGCAAUUGCUAGAAUCUUUUAGAAUGGUUUCUCGAUAUAUGUUAUAUAGUUUUAUUUUUAGGAUAAAUUCAAAUCAUGUGUUAUAGUUAUUAUAACAUUCAAGAUUUACUAUGGUAAAUUUUCAUAUUUUCUAUUUUUAAGGACAAUAGAUGUAAUUUUUCAUUUGUAGUUUUGAUUAUCAUAAUGAUGACGAUCAUCAUCAUUUAGUUAAUGUUUGGGCCUUUAGCAUAGUUAUCAAAGGCUCAAGGCGCACCGAGGCGCCAAGGUGUCUUGGAGCCUAGGCGCAAGGCGCAAGGCGCAGGCGCGCGCCCGAGAGAGCCGAGGCGCAAAAAUAAAAAAUAUAUA
rnacentral:misc_RNA from 1 species